rnacentral:rRNA from 1 species
UACAGAGGUCCCAAGCGUUGUUCGGAUUCACUGGGCGUAAAGGGUGCGUAGGCGGUCGGGUAAGUCUGGUGUGAAAUCUCCAAGCUUAACUUGGAAAUGGCAUCGGAUACUAUUCGGCUCGAGGAAUGGAGGGGAGACUGGAAUACUUGGUGUAGCAGUGAAAUGCGUAGAUAUCAAGUGGAACACCAGUGGCGAAGGCGAGUCUCUGGACAGUACCUGACGCUGAGGCACGAAAGCCAGGGGAGCAAACGGG